GUCUAUGGCCAUGCCACCCUGAACAAGCCCAAUCCCGUCUGAUCUCAGAAGCUAAGCGGGGUCGGGCCUGGUGAGUACUUGGAUGGGAGACCACCUAGGAAGACCAGGUGCUGUAGGCA
rnacentral:rRNA from 1 species